rfam:Strigamia maritima strain Brora ctg7180001227597, whole genome shotgun sequence.
CCGUCGAUAGCUCAGUUGGUAGAGCGGUGGACUGUAGUGGUCAUUCUAGUAGCUAUCCAUAGGUCGCUGGUUCAAAUCCGGCUCGACGGA